GCUGGGCAUGGUGGCGCAUGCCUGUAAUCCUAGCUACUGGGGAGGCUGAGGCACAAGAAUCGCUUGAACCUGGGAAGCAGAGGAUGCAGUGAGCCAAGAUCAUGACACUGUACUCCAGCCUGGGUGACAGAGCGAGACUCUGUCUCAA
rfam:Homo sapiens chromosome 16, GRCh38 reference primary assembly.